rnacentral:tRNA from 1 species
GGGGGGUUAGCUCAGUUGGUAGAGCGCUAGAUUUGCAUUCUAGAGGUCAGGAGUUCGACCCUCCUACUCUCCA